rnacentral:rRNA from 1 species
UGGGGAAUAUUGGACAAUGGGGGCAACCCUGAUCCAGCAAUGCCGCGUGUGUGAAGAAGGCCUGCGGGUUGUAAAGUCCUUUCGACGGAGACGAUAAUGACGGUAUCCGUAGAAGAAGCCCCGGCUAAUUUCGUGCCAGCAGCCGCGGUAAUACGAAAGGGGCUAGCGUUGUUCGGAAUUACUGGGCGUAAAGCGCACGUAGGCGGUCGUGUAAGAUGGGGGUGAAAUCCCGGAGCUCAACUCCGGAACUGCCUUCAUGACUGCAUGGCUAGAGGAUGCGAGAGGUUGGCGGAAUUCCGAGUGUAGAGGUGAAAUUCGUAGAUAUUCGGAAGAACACCAGUGGCGAAGGCGGCCAACUGGCGCAUUUCUGACGCUGAGGUGCGAAAGCGUGGGGAGCAAACAGGAUUAGAUACCCUAGUAGUCCCUGAGCGGGCUGGCAAGGCGCAU